rnacentral:rRNA from 1 species
UACGGAGGGUGCAAGCGUUGUCCGGAUUUAUUGGGUUUAAAGGGUGCGUAGGCGGCCCGUUAAGUCAGUGGUGAAAGCCUCCAGCUCAACUGGAGAACUGCCGUUGAUACUGACGGGCUUGAGUACAGACGAGGUUGGCGGAAUUGAUUGUGUAGCGGUGAAAUGCAUAGAUACAAUCAAGAACUCCGAUUGCGUAGGCAGCUAACUAGGCUGUAACUGACGCUGAGGCACGAAAGCGUGGGGAGCGAACAGG